rnacentral:rRNA from 1 species
GCCUGAGAUCAAAUUACCCUGAAUGCGCCAAAUAUCACCAGAUCUCGGGAGCUAAAGCAAGCUUGAGCCUGGUUAAUACUUGGAUGAACAGCGACCAAUGCUUUCCAGGUGUUGCGGGCU